rnacentral:rRNA from 1 species
CAGUCGACGGCAGCAUAUAGUUUUACUUUUGAUGGCGAGUGGCGAACGGGUGAGUAAUAUCUAAGAAUCUGCCUUAAGAAGGGGGAUAACUAUUGGAAACGAUAGCUAAUACCGCAUGAUGUUGUUUAAUUUAAUAUAUGUUAAAUAUUUAUAUUUAAAAUAUUAUUUUAUUUUUACAAUUAAAGUAGGGGAUUUAAAUUUUAAUUUAAACCUUAUGUCUUAAGAUGAGCUUGGAUAGGAUUAGUUAGUAGGUAAGGUAAAAGCUUACCUAGACUAUGAUCCUUAGCUGGUCUUAGAGGAUGACCAGCCACACUGGAACUGAGAUACGGUCCAGACUCCUACGGGAGGCAGCAGUGGGGAAUAUUGCACAAUGGGGGAAACCCUGAUGCAGCUAUGCCGCGUGUAUGAAGAAGACUUUAGGGUUGUAAAAUACUUUCAGUAAGGAAGAAGAUAUAUAUAAUAAUACUAUAUAUAUUUGACGUUACUUACAAAAGAAGCAUCGGCUAACUCCGUGCCAGCAGCCGCGGUAAUACGGGGGAUGCAAGCGUUAAUCGGAAUUACUGGGGCGUAAAGAGCAUGUAGGUGGUUUUUUGUGUUAAAUAUGAAAUCCCUGAGCUUAACUUAGGAAUUGUAUUUAAAACUAAUUAACUAGAGUAUCGUAGAGGAAGGUGGAAUUCCAGGUGUAGCGGUGAAAUGCGUAGAUAUCUGGAGGAAUAUCAGUGGCAAAAGGCGGCCUUCUGGACGAAUACUGACACUUAAGUGCGAAAGCAUGGGGAGCAAACAGGAUUAGAUACCCUGGUAGUCCAUGCCGUAAACGAUGUCAACUUGAAGGUUGUAAUAUUUAAAUUAUGACUUUCGUAGCUAACGCGUUAAGUUGACCGCCUGGGGAGUACGACCGCAAGGUUAAAACUCAAAUGAAUUGACGGGGGCCCGCACAAGCGGUGGAGCAUGUGGUUUAAUUCGAUGCAACGCGAAAAACCUUACCUGGUCUUGACAUCCAGCGAAUUUUGCAGAAAUGUGAAAGUGCUUUUAUUAAAAGAACGCUGAGACAGGUGCUGCAUGGCUGUCGUCAGCUCGUGUUGUGAAAUGUUGGGUUAAGUCCUGUAACGAGCGCAACCCCUGUUCUUUGUUGCCAACAGGUAAUGCUGGGAACUCAAAGAAGACUGCCAGUGAUAAACUGGAGGAAGGUGGGGAUGACGUCAAGUCAUCAUGGCCCUUACGACCAGGGCUACACACGUGCUACAAUGGCAUAUACAAAGAGAAGCUAACUUGCGAAAGUACGCUAAUCUCAAAAAGUAUGUCUUAAUUCGGAUUGAAGUCUGCAACUCGACUUCAUGAAGUCGGAAUCGCUAGUAAUCGUGAAUCAGAAUGUCACGGUGAAUACGUUCUCGGGCCUUGUACACACCGCCCGUCACACCAUGGGAGUGUGUUGCAAAAGAAAUAAUUACUUAACC